UACGUAGGGUGCAAGCGUUAAUCGGAAUUACUGGGCGUAAAGCGUGCGCAGGCGGUUUCGUAAGUCUGUCGUGAAAUCCCCGGGCUUAACCUGGGAAUGGCGAUGGAGACUGCGAGGCUAGAGUUUGGCAGAGGGGGGUAGAAUUCCACGUGUAGCAGUGAAAUGCGUAGAGAUGUGGAGGAACACCGAUGGCGAAGGCAGCCUCCCUGGGCCACACUGACGCUCAUGUGCGAAAGCGUGGGGAGCAAACAGG
rnacentral:rRNA from 1 species